rnacentral:rRNA from 1 species
UACGAAGGGUGCAAGCGUUAAUCGGAAUUACUGGGCGUAAAGCGUGCGUAGGCGGUUUCUUAAGUCUGCUGUGAAAUCCCCGGGCUCAACCUGGGAAUGGCAGUGGAUACUGGGAGGCUAGAGUGUGUCAGAGGAUGGUGGAAUUCCCGGUGUAGCGGUGAAAUGCGUAGAGAUGUGGAGGAACACCGAUGGCGAAGGCAGCCUUCUGGGCCAACACUGACGCUCAUGCACGAAAGCGUGGGGAGCAAACAGG